GCCUGGGUGGCUCAGUCGGUUGAGCGUCCGACUUCGGCUCAGGUCAUGAUCUCACAGUUUGUGGGUUCGAGUCCCGCAUCGGGCU
rnacentral:tRNA from 1 species